rnacentral:rRNA from 1 species
CCGGUUGAUCCUGCCGGACCUGACUGCUAUCGGAUUGAUACUAAGCCAUGCGAGUCUUUGCAGUAAUGCAAGGCAUACGGCUCAGUAACACGUAGUCAACUUACCCUAUGGACGAGGAUAAUCUCGGGAAACUGAGCAUAAUACUCGAUAGAUCAUAAUGCCUGGAAUGGUUUAUGGUUAAAAUGAUUCGUCGCCAUAGGAUGGGACUGCGGCCUAUCAGCUUGUUGGUGAGGUAAUGGCCCACCAAGGCGAUUACAGGUACGGGCUCUGAGAGGAGAAGCCCGGAGAUGGGUACUGAGACAAGGACCCAGGCCCUAUGGGGCGCAGCAGGCGAGAAAACUUUGCAAUGUGCGAAAGCACGACAAGGUUAAUCCGAGUGAUUUCUGCUAAAGAAAUCUUUUGCAAGUCAUAAAACCACUAGUGAAUAAGGGGUGGGCAAGUUCUGGUGUCAGCCGCCGCGGUAAAACCAGCACCUCAAGUGGUCAGGAGGAUUAUUGGGCCUAAAGCAUCCGUAGCCGGCUCUGUAAGUUUUCGGUUAAAUCCAUGUGCUCAACACAUGGGCUGCCGAAAAUACUGCAUAGCUAGGGAGUGGGAGAGGUAGACGGUACUCGGUAGGAAGGGGUAAAAUCCUUUGAUCUAUCGAUGACCACCUGUGGCGAAGGCGGUCUACCAGAACACGUUCGACGGUGAGGGAUGAAAGCUGGGGGAGCAAACCGGAUUAGAUACCCGGGUAGUCCCAGCUGUAAACGAUGCAGACUCGAUGAUGCAUUGGCAUAUAGCCAGUGCAGUGUCGCAGGGAAGCCGUUAAGUCUGCCGCCUGGGAAGUACGUACGCAAGUAUGAAACUUAAAGGAAUUGGCGGGGGAGCACCACAAGGGGUGAAGCCUGCGGUUCAAUUGGAUUCAACGCAAG